UUUUUUAGACGCGGUGGAUAGUGGAUAUAAUUAUAAUGCCAUUUUAAAGUGAAAAUGUUACAUCUGUAGAUAUAUUAUUCUCUCUAAAAGAGGAUUCUAUAAUCAAACCGUUGAAUUUAUAUUUAACCAUAUGUAAAUGUAUCGCCCACAACUAAGGAAUGUAGUUCAGAUCCUGAUGAACUUUUGACUUUGACUUCAUCGGAAGAAUCAACAGGUUCAAUAAAAAUAAAACUAUGAAAAAUCAAAUACCCAAUUGACCCGUGAUCACAACAAUCAAAUGAAAAAUGACAGCUCCAUACUUAAAAGUACAAAAUCUAGGAUUCCACUAACACAAUGUAAAUGUAUCCUCGACAACUAAGGAAUACGUAUUAGAACUCCCAUUGUCAGUGCUUGUACUAGCACCACCGGUAUGUUCGACCUGAACUGGAUCUUCUGGAAUUGGAAAAUCUGCCACAGAAACACUUUCCAGGCUCCACAGAAACUUCCACACGUUUUUUUGCGAGGUGCAGUUGCUUCUGGUUGUCUGACGUUCUGUGUUCUGUUGGAGAGCUUUGAGGAGUUCCUUGAAAGUGUCGUCAAUAGCAGCGACAGGAGUUGUAACUGUUGGAUUUGUGGCUCCUGAGUCCUCUAAAGAUGGUAAGAUCUUUAGUACUUGA
rnacentral:lncRNA from 1 species